UAAUGCCGUAACCAUAUUUAUGCGUGAUGAGCAGCCACGAGAUCCAAUCGUUAGAUCAUGUGAACUCAUCGCCCUUCUGUGAGAUUUACCCUGACACUGACAUCUACCAGUGGAACGCGGUGGACGUGGAGAAUGCUGAAGGAUUCCUCGAGCGCGGUCUAGUCACCAACACUGUGAACGGCGGUCUGUUAAUAGAUUUCGGCGUUGCCGAUCGACGCUCGCAGUUGAUCGAGUUAGAAAGGGCGCUGCACUGUUGCUGCUCCGGGCACGAGUUUUGCGCCGCUACCCACUCGUGGGGCCUUGACUACCACUGGGCGUCGCGCAACGAGGAGCCCCUGGGCGGCUUUGAGGUACUGACGCGGACGGCUGCCGAUCGCCCGUGGAUGUGGUACCCGGCGGUGUUCUUAGCGCGCCGGAUCUUGUGGAAUAAAUAUGCCUACAUUGGAAUCCGGUUGGGUGAGAACGUCGUGGCGAAAUUCGUCAGCCCCCUCGUGGUGCGGUUGGCGCAGCGCUAUCGGGGGGAACGCGCUGUUGACGCAAAGGACUACGUCACGCAGGUGUGCGCCCUACCGCGAGAGUACCUUGAGGGGCGGACAGUGGAGCCGGAGUUGUGGAGCAUCUGGGUGGACGCGCUGAAGUCGGCCUAUGCCAGCAUCUUGUACCCCAUCGGUGUGAACAACGAGUGCCUAUUGUAUCUUCAGGAUGGAAUUGGGCCGUCAAAGUUGACGCCAAUAUUAACGGAAGUGCUGAAUCGACUGAAUUUGAUGGCCAAAUCGGAGCUGACGCGCCGGCUGCAGGCCGGCUGGACCUUCGCCGACGGCAAGUGGAUUCCAGAGAACGUCGAGCUAAGUACUCGAGGUCCUCUGUAUCCCACAACGGCUCAGCCAUCCAGCCCGCUGGCCGACGCAUUCCCACCGGAGCUCUUCCAAGAGAUUCUCUCCUGUUUCGGUACGAAUGAGCGGCCAUUCUACCGCCGCGUCAGCCCGUUGUGGAACGAGCUUUUCCACCAGGAUGACAUCCGCCAACGCCUGACGCUGAACUUCCGCGACGCCGGCACGGCAGCCUAUUCGAUGGGCAUGUCCAUCAUUAAGCAUUUAACCGCCGCCACAGAGUUGGUCGUGAUUAACAACGCCAGACAAAGCAUGACAAUGCAGGAGUUCGGGGACUGCAUGCUGCUGAUCGGCGCUGUUUACAAGCAGAGCGGCAACAGCCUGCAAAAGCUGCAGGUGAUGGCGUAUAGGUGCCGUUGGGAUCUGGGAGAUGAACGCUUCUCCUCGGAAGUAGAGUUGUUGGCCAGGACGUGUGUCGACGUGGCAGCCGCUGUGGAGUCCAUACAGUGGCGCAACUGUCUGUUUUCCGGUUGUGGUCCCCUACGCGACGAUAAUACUGUCGCGCUUGAUGUCACCGCCACCCACGAGACGUUGAGAGAGAUGGAAACGGAUUUGCGUGCACUUCUGAUGCGGCAGCUGUGGUAUAUUAAUCGCCCGCCGAUCCCUCUCCGAUGGUACCAUGCGUUGUAGUGAUGCGGGGCUACCGACACUGGAACCUUCCAAAUGGCCACAGCCCUCCCACUGGAACUCACGCGAGAACUACUUCCCCGCUUGGCCAUGAACCAGCGGCCGUUCUAGCGCCGUGGCAGUCUGUUGUGAAAUGUCGUCAGACAGGACGAGUUGGGGCUAUCUCAUGAUAAAUUUCGACAAUCCUAGCACAUCAGCCUGCUCUAUGGGCACGUGCAUCGGUCAGUAUCUAACCGCCGCCACGGUGAUGGUCAUAACUAACGUGAAACAACGCUGGACGCCGCAGAAUCUCAGCAACGAACUGGCGACGCCGAUCAGCAUAUCAACCGCCUGCGAAAGCUGCAGCGUAAUGACAUUCGCUCCCUUCGUCUUCGACUUCGGAAAGCUUUGACGGCUCCCAAUGACGCAUCGAUCCAGCUCUGAAUAUGACAAGACCACACAUGCAGGCAGAUUUUAUUCAGCUUUCUGACGUCCAAAUUGUCCAGCGUCCACUUAGCGGGAUGGUUGUCCGCAUCCCAUUCCGGACAGUGGUCUUCAUACACAUUCACAAGCUUUACAGUUGCAGAUACCUUGAUCAGGUUUUGGCAGGCAUCCCUGUAUGGCUGUGCAACCAACUUGGCCGUCCACUGUGCAAUACGCUCCACAUCAAGUGGCUGAUUCCGGUCCAAGUGUUCUGCGAGUAAUUACCAAAGCGCUUUUUUAGUGAGGCCGCUAGGAGAAAAAGCAGCGUGCGGAAUCCGAAACUUCAUUGUGGGAGUACUGAAGCUGUCGUCGUAGUUCAGCUGAAAAUCCUUCCAAAUCACACGACCGCAACAGGACGCCAGUUUGGAAUAUAAUUUCGCGCUGUUUUGGAAGUAAUGGCGAAGGCCCCACAUACCAUCGUGUUCGCGGGAAAGCGAUCGGCGGCAUAUAAUUAAUCGGUCAA